UACGUAGGGCGCAAGCGUUGUCCGGAAUUAUUGGGCGUAAAGAGCUCGUAGGCGGUUCGUCGCGUCUGCUGUGAAAACCUAAGGCUCAACCUUGGGCUUGCAGUGGGUACGGGCAGACUAGAGUGCGGUAGGGGUGACUGGAAUUCCUGGUGUAGCGGUGGAAUGCGCAGAUAUCAGGAGGAACACCGAUGGCGAAGGCAGGUCACUGGGCCGCAACUGACGCUGAGGAGCGAAAGCAUGGGGAGCGAACAGG
rnacentral:rRNA from 1 species